UCCUAGCUUUUCCUUAUGUGGUUUUCAUUUUUGAUCAUGUAAGAAAUGGAGUAGCUUGGAACUACACGUCCUUUCACUAUGAGAACUUUUGUUCCUAUAAAAUACAACCAUGACAGAAAUGAACUGGUGGUGAAAAUACAUGUGAAAGGGCUAUAGCGG
rnacentral:ncRNA from 1 species